rnacentral:rRNA from 1 species
AUGCAAAGAGAUUGCCAUGUUUUCUUUUAUUUCGGUUUAGUUCAUUCCCUUAUAUAUCCAGUUGUUUUCCGCAGAACAAAUAUAAAUGUUCAUGUUGUAAUGGAUGGAUAUGUUGAUCGCAUCGUCAUGUCAUGUAAAUUACAUGCAGAACAAAUCUAUAUUUUUGUUGGAGAAAAAUUCACUACAGGUCCUCAUACUUAUCGUGUUGGCCGCAUUUCUUCUCGUACUUGCAAAUACCCAAAAUACAGUCCUACAACUUGUCGUCUCAGGUGGUCGUCUACGGUUCAAAAUACCAUUUCCUCUACGUAUCUGCUGACCUGGCUGUUGACUGGCGCGUCCACGCGGACUUUGACCGCCAGCUUGACUGCCACAUCGUCUUACCUGCCUGAUUACGCCAGGAACCAAGGUUUGUUUUGCAAAAUCGCCACAAAUAAAAGAGCUCCUGUCCACAACCGCUCCCUCUCGCCGCCGAUCCCCUUCCUCCACCACCACCACCAGCGGCACCGGCACGGCAGCCUCCGCCUCCUCCUCCACGGCCACGGCUUCCUCGGGACCCCGCACCACAAUAACGACGACCACCGCCUCCUCCUCAACCUCCCCGAUGUCCUGGGUGUGCGCGGCGAUGGCCAUGUCACAACCGCCGGAGGAGAGCAGCACGGCGAACUGCCCCCGUCGGUGGCUUCGAGCAGGAAAGUGGAGUUGGGGCUGCUGCUGCUGAAGAGGAGGCACAAGAAGCCGCCGCGGUCGACGUCGGCGCCCACCUGUGGUGUGCGGCGGACGAGGAGGGCGAGUGGCCGGACAUGGCGUGGGUGGCCUCGGCCUGCAGGAGCUCUCCGUCGCCGCGGCGACAGCGUGAACUGCAUCAUCAGCUCGUCGGCAGCCUCCAUGACCCAUCCGCACACCGCCCCAUGA